ACGCACGCUGGCGGCGUGCUUAACACAUGCAAGUCGAACGGAAAGGCCCUGCUUUUGUGGGGUGCUCGAGUGGCGAACGGGUGAGUAACACGUGAGUAACCUGCCCUUGACUUUGGGAUAACUUCAGGAAACUGGGGCUAAUACCGGAUAGAAGCUCCUGCUGCAUGGUGGGGGUUGGAAAGUUUCGGCGGUUGGGGAUGGACUCGCGGCUUAUCAGCUUGUUGGUGGGGUAGUGGCUUACCAAGGCUUUGACGGGUAGCCGGCCUGAGAGGGUGACCGGCCACAUUGGGACUGAGAUACGGCCCAGACUCCUACGGGAGGCAGCAGUGGGGAAUAUUGCACAAUGGGCGGAAGCCUGAUGCAGCAACGCCGCGUGCGGGAUGACGGCCUUCGGGUUGUAAACCGCUUUCGCCUGUGACGAAGCGUGAGUGACGGUAAUGGGUAAAGAAGCACCGGCUAACUACGUG
rnacentral:rRNA from 1 species